ACGCCGUAGCGCGGUCGUCGGCCCAGGCGCCGCGGCCCCGCCGCGGAAGCCUCGCGCUGCUGCUGCGGCAGGAGGGGAGGGAGGCGGCGUCGGCGGCGGCGGCGCUGCCCGCGGGCCGCCGAGCGGAGCAGGAGGAGAGGAAGGCCAAGAGGGGCAGCUUCUGGGCGAGGCUUCAGCAGCAGCUCCACCACGGUGGCUGGCACAAGAAAGACGGGUGCGCGGUGGCCGCGGAGAGGCAGAACGCCGCCGCGCCGCACAGGCGGGCGCCGGUGGUGUGAUGCUCGAUCAGGCCGGAGGGGGCGACCAUGCGGU
rnacentral:misc_RNA from 1 species